CGUUAACGGCGUCGAGCGGCGGACGGGUGAGUAAUGCCUGGGAAAUUGCCCUGAUGUGGGGGAUAACCAUUGGAAACGAUGGCUAAUACCGCAUAAUAGCUUCGGCUCAAAGAGGGGGACCUUCGGGCCUCUCGCGUCAGGAUAUGCCCAGGUGGGAUUAGCUAGUUGGUGAGGUAAUGGCUCACCAAGGCGACGAUCCCUAGCUGGUCUGAGAGGAUGAUCAGCCACACUGGAACUGAGACACGGUCCAGACUCCUACGGGAGGCAGCAGUGGGGAAUAUUGCACAAUGGGCGCAAGCCUGAUGCAGCCAUGCCGCGUGUGUGAAGAAGGCCUUCGGGUUGUAAAGCACUUUCAGCAGUGAGGAAGGCGGGUACGUUAAUAGCGUGCUCGUUUGACGUUAGCUGCAGAAGAAGCACCGGCUAACUCCGUGCCAGCAGCCGCGGUAAUACGGAGGGUGCGAGUGUUAAUCGGAAUUACUGGGCGUAAAGCGCAUGCAGGUGGUUAGUUAAGUCAGAUGUGAAAGCCCGGGGCUCAACCUCGGAACUGCAUUUGAAACUGGCUGACUAGAGUACUGUAGAGGGGGGUAGAAUUUCAGGUGUAGCGGUGAAAUGCGUAGAGAUCUGAAGGAAUACCGGUGGCGAAGGCGGCCCCCUGGACAGAUACUGACACUCAGAUGCGAAAGCGUGGGGAGCAAACAGG
rnacentral:rRNA from 1 species